rnacentral:tRNA from 1 species
GCGCCUGUAGCUCAGCGGAUAGAGUGUCUUUCCUAAGCAGAAAGUCAUGGGUUCGACCCCUACUUGGCGUG